rnacentral:rRNA from 1 species
GAUGAACGCUGGCGGCGUGCUUAACACAUGCAAGUCGAACGGGAUCCCUGGCAGCUUGCUGCCGGGGUGAGAGUGGCGAACGGGUGAGUAAUGCGUGACCGACCUGCCCCAUGCACCGGAAUAGCUCCUGGAAACGGGUGGUAAUGCCGGAUGUUCCACAUGAGCGCAUGCGAGUGUGGGAAAGGCUUUUUGCGGCAUGGGAUGGGGUCGCGUCCUAUCAGCUUGUUGGUGGGGUAACGGCCUACCAAGGCGUUGACGGGUAGCCGGCCUGAGAGGGCGACCGGCCACAUUGGGACUGAGAUACGGCCCAGACUCCUACGGGAGGCAGCAGUGGGGAAUAUUGCACAAUGGGCGCAAGCCUGAUGCAGCGACGCCGCGUGCGGGAUGGAGGCCUUCGGGUUGUAAACCGCUUUUGUUCAAGGGCAAGGCACGGUCUUUGGCCGUGUUGAGUGGAUUGUUCGAAUAAGCACCGGCUAACUACGUGCCAGCAGCCGCGGUAAUACGUAGGGUGCAAGCGUUAUCCGGAUUUAUUGGGCGUAAAGGGCUCGUAGGCGGUUCGUCGCGUCCGGUGUGAAAGUCCAUCGCUUAACGGUGGAUCCGCGCCGGGUACGGGCGGGCUUGAGUGCGGUAGGGGAGACUGGAAUUCCCGGUGUAACGGUGGAAUGUGUAGAUAUCGGGAAGAACACCAAUGGCGAAGGCAGGUCUCUGGGCCGUUACUGACGCUGAGGAGCGAAAGCGUGGGGAGCGAACAGG